CACGUAGGGUGCGAGCGUUGUCCGGAAUUAUUGGGCGUAAAGAGCUCGUAGGCGGUGUGUCGCGUCGGCCGUGAAAACCUGCAGCUUAACUGUGGGCUUGCGGUCGAUACGGGCAUGACUGGAGUUCGGCAGGGGAGACUGGAAUUCCUGGUGUAGCGGUGAAAUGCGCAGAUAUCAGGAGGAACACCGGUGGCGAAGGCGGGUCUCUGGGCCGUAACUGACGCUGAGGAGCGAAAGCGUGGGGAGCGAACAGG
rnacentral:rRNA from 1 species